CCCGCUGAACUUAAGCAUAUCAAUAAGCGGAGGAAAAGAAACUAACAAGGAUUCCCCUAGUAACUGCGAGUGAAGCGGGAAAAGCUCAAAUUUAAAAUCUGGCAGUCUCUGGCUGUCCGAGUUGUAAUCUAGAGAAGCAUUAUCCGCGCUGGACCGUGUACAAGUCUCCUGGAAUGGAGCGUCAUAGAGGGUGAGAAUCCCGUCUUUGACACGGACUGCCAGGGCUUUGUGAUGUGCUCUCAAAGAGUCGAGUUGUUUGGGAAUGCAGCUCAAAAUGGGUGGUAAAUUCCCAUCUAAGCUAAAUAUUGGCGAGAGACCGAUAGCGAACAAGUACCGUGAGGGAAAGAUGAAAAGAACUUUGGAAAGAGAGUUAAACAGUACGUGAAAUUGCCGAAAGGGAAACGCUUGAAGUCAGUCACGUUGGCCAGGGAUCAACCUUGCUUUUGCUUGGUGUACUUUCUGGUUGAUGGGUCAGCAUCAAUUUUGACCAUUGGAAAAAGGUCAAGGGAAUGUGGCAUCUUCGGAUGUGUUAUAGCCCUUGGUUGCAUACAAUGGUUGGGAUUGAGGAACUCAGCACGCCGCAAGGCCGGGUUUUUAACCACGUACGUGCUUAGGAUGCUGGCAAAAUGGCUUUAAUCGACCCGUCUUGAAACACGG
rnacentral:rRNA from 1 species